rnacentral:rRNA from 1 species
GAUCAUGGCUCAGGAUGAAGGCUGGCGGCGUGCCUAACACAUGCAAGUCGAGCGAGAAACCUUUCAAUGAAGCUUCGGUAGAUUUGAGAGGCGGAAAGCGGCGGACGGGUGAGUAACGCGUAGGCAACCUGCCCCUUGCAGAGGGAUAGCCUCGGGAAACCGGGAUUAAAACCUCAUAAAGCCUUUGAAGACAUGCUUUGUAAGGUACGAAAGAAUUUAUUCGGCCGAAGGGAAGUGGGCCGUCGCGUCUGAUUAG